UCACUCGAGACAAGAAACAGCUGCUAAAUGGCGCAGCACAACUGUUUUCACGUUUGCUAACAGCAUUGUCCAGUGAUCAACACACUCAUACGCCCGCUGGUUCAGCAGUAGAUAUUCGGAUAUGAAAGGCAGCAUUGCCGCUUUAUUUCUUUUCCUGGUUUCCGCAGGGGAGUCAAGAACCUGCCCGGAAGGCCAAGUGUACACAAUGUGUCCGCG